AAAAAAAAUUUGAGUUGAAAUAAAAAAGCAUAACCUAGCCUUGUUCGGUUCUUCGUUUCCACCAUUAACGUACUCUCUUUUCUUUAACCCCAAAACACAUUUUAUUCAUUCACCACCAGACUCACCGAUUACGCUCUCUCAAUUCAAUUCAAUUCACUUUCAAACUCUCUUCACAACCCAUCAAUUUUCAACUCUUUCUCUCUCAAUUCUCAAACUCAAUCCCCUUUUCGCAAUCUCCUGACGAACCCUAAUCAAACGCAAUCACUUCGUCCUUCGUUCAAUUCAUUGCUGAGUACCUCGUUAUUCUUCUUUCAGCUCAAGUUCGUGAUUUCUGCUUCUGCACUAAUUUAUACCUUCUACCCCUUUCGCGGUUUCUAAAGGUUUAUUUGCCAUAAACAUGGACGAGGAUCAAGAGAUGGAGAAAUUUGGAAUGGAGAAUGAUUAUGAGGGUGGUCAAUGGAUUGGUGGUGAAUUCUACUACAAGAGUCGUAAGGAAAAGCGCACUCAGACAAAGGAUGAUGUUCUUUACGGGGUUUUUGCAGAUUCUGAUGACGAUGAUGAUUAUUCAAGUAGAAAACGGAGGAAGGACCGUGAUUUUUCAAAGAAGCAAGAUCUAACCAAGCCUGUGAAUUUUGUGUCUACUGGAAUGUUUAUGCCCAAUCAGGAAAUUGAUAAUAAGUCCAAAGAGCAGAAUGAGAAAGAUGGUUAUGUUAGUGAGGAUAGGCCGGGCUUAGGGUCAGGUUUUGGUAUGGGGUCUGGUGGCACUUCUGGGUCUGGUCUAGGUUUUAAUUCUGGCAAUACAGCAAAUGGUUCAGAAAGAAAUGGUGAUUCUGAUGAGAAUGGUCAUGAUAAUUUCUUGCCCUCAGCAUUUGGGAAGAAGAUUAAGGAGGGGGCGAUGAGAAGGGAAAGGGAAAGGGAGAAGGAGAGGUUGGAGAAGAAGAGGGGGAAGCAUCAGAGUUCAGUUCAAGAUGGGUUUAGUGAUGUGGGGAAGUUUGAGAAGCAUACGAAAGGGAUAGGCAUGAAGUUGUUGGAGAAGAUGGGUUAUAAAGGAGGCGGGCUUGGGAAGAAUGAGCAGGGUAUUGUGGCUCCUAUUGAGGCCAGAUUGAGGGCCAAGAAUUCUGGCAUAGGGUUUAAUGAGUCUAAGGAGACUUUGCCAUUGCCGGUUUUGCAGCAAGAGAAGAAGAAUGUGCAAGAGGUCUCACAACCUGUGGUUAGCAAAACAAAGGAAAGGUUAUGGUCAAAGCAAGCAAGGUUGAAGAAAAAGAAGGAGGAAGAGUAUGUAACAGCUGAGGAGUUGUUGGCAAGCAAGCAAGAACAAGAGUUUGAGGUUGUUCAGAAGGUAUAUGAUAUGAGAGGGCCACAUGCUAGAGUAAUAAAUUUGUCUGAUUUGAAUGCCGAGGAGAAAGCAAAAGAAAAUGAUAUCCCAAUGCCAGAACUUCAGUAUAAUGUAGCAUUAAUAGUUGGGUUGGCUGAGGCUGACAUCCAGCAGAUUGAUAGAGAUUUGAGGAGAGAGAGGGAGACGGCACUUAGCUUGAAAAAAGAAAAAGAGAAGCUAGAAACUGAGGCAGCGUUCCAGAAGAAGCAGCUGGAUAAUAUGGAGGAAAUAAAGCGUGUGUUAGACCAUGUUGAAGAAGAAAACACUUUGGGAACUUUAACAUUGGAUUCCCUUGCUCAUUGCUUUAGGGAUUUACACAAAAGAUAUGCUGAUGACUACAAGUUGUGUAACUUGUCAUGCAUUGCUUGUUUUUAUGCUCUACCCCUGUUUAUCAGAGUGUUCCAAGGUUGGGAUCCUCUGCGAAAUCCAUCUCAUGGGUUGGAGUUGGUUUCAGAGUGGAAGGCAUUGCUUCGAGAAGAAGAUUCAGUUGAUAUAUGGGAUGUAUCAUCACCUUAUACCCAAUUGGUUUUAGAGGUUGUAUUGCCAGCUGUAAGAAUAUCUGGUAUAAAUACCUGGCAGGCCCGGGAUCCUGAACCAAUGUUAUGGUUUCUGGAAUUGUGGGAAAAGUUACUUCCUCAAUCUGUCCUUGCCACCAUAUUAGACAAUAUAGUUAUGCCUAAACUAUCAAGUGCUGUAGAUACUUGGGAACCACACCGUGAGACCAUUCCUAUCCACACUUGGGUGCAUCCAUGGCUACCGCUGUUGGGUCACAAGUUGGAGGGUAUUUACCAGGUGAUUCGUUUUAAAUUGAGUACUGUUCUUGGUGCCUGGCACCCAAGUGAUGGUUCUGCUUAUGCUAUAUUGUCUCCUUGGAAGUCUGUAUUUGAUUCUGCUAGUUGGGAACAACUUAUGCUUCGUUUUAUUGUACCAAAGUUACAGCUUGUCUUGCAAGAUUUCCAAGUGAACCCAGCAAGUCAGAAUCUUGAUCAAUUUUAUUGGGUAAUGAACUGGGCUUCUGCUAUUCCUAUUCACCUAAUGGUUGAUAUGAUGGAGAAAUUCUUCUUUGCUAAAUGGCUUCAGGUUCUGUAUCAUUGGCUGUGCUCAAAUCCUAAUUUUGAAGAAGUUACAAAAUGGUAUUUAGGAUGGAAGGAACUCAUUCCAAAAGAACUGUUAGCAAAUGAAAGCAUCCGAUACCAACUUAAUCGCGGUCUUGAUAUGAUGAACCAGGCUGUUGAAGGUAUGGAGGUGGUCCAACCUGGUUUAAAGGAGAAUAUAAGCUAUCUUAGGGUACUUGAGCAGAGGCAAUUUGAGGCUCAACAGAAAGCAGCAGCUUAUGCUCAACAGCAAGCUGCGGCUAGCUUGGGCGGUGCAGUCAAUGCAGAUGGCACUCAUGAAUUGAGCUUGAAAGAAGUCAUUGAGGCUCAUGCUCAGCAACAUGGUUUGCUAUUCAAGCUUAAACCUGGUAGAAUGCACAAUGGUCAUCAAAUAUAUGGGUUUGGUAAUGUCAGCAUAAUAAUAGACUCUCUUAAUCAAAAAGUAUACGCCCAGAACGAAGAAUUGUGGUCUAUGGAAUCUCUUCAGGGAUUGCUUGAGUUGCAUAAUAAAUCCCUUAGUAAAAGGCGUUGAUUUCUGCAUUGACCAAUGUGAAUUAUCUGAAUUAUAAGGUGUUUAAAAACCAUGGUGCGUCUGCUGGUGCAUCAAUGAAUCAUUCUCAUGGUCGGAUGAUGGCCCACUAGUUAUUCCACCUAGUGUUUCUGUGCAUCUUGCAAGUAUGGAAGAUCAUUUUAAUCAGACAAGAGAAUGUUUUAUUUGUGCAAUUCAACAUGAGUAUCUUUUGGUUGAUUCAUCUCCAACUUCUUUUCACCGGUUCCUUUUGCUGCUACAUUUCCUUGAGAUGUAGUUGAACAUGGAGGUUUGCUGAAACUAAUGCUCAGGAAGAUGUCUUCGCAGUUGAACAAUCCACCAUUCAGCUAUAUGCUUCAUCCCCUUCCACUUCAUGGUAAUGGGUCAGAAUGAGCAUUCACUCGUUGCUUUAUAUUUCUAAUACCUCUACUAACUGGGAUUGCGGAUUUUGAGCUGGGAAUGGGUGUUACAUAAAUGACGUGUUUCCCGAGGGGGCAGCAAAGGUUCUAAGGUAAGUGAAAGUGGAAGUUCCAGUGAGGAUAAAGCGUGUGUUGGUAACCUAAUUUCUUUUAUUCACAUGUAUGAGGGUCAAGCAUUUUUGUUUCAGUUUUUGUACCCUGAGCCUCCUAGUGAGGGAGUUUUGGUUCUCACAUACCAUUAAUCUUAGUCCUGAAAUCAUGAGGUAUUGGAAAACUUAAACAAACUAUUCAUGGUGUACUAGAUUCUUUGGGAAGACGAUAGUGCAGAAAGAGUAAAGGUAACUAAAUUUUUUACCAUGUCUUGAUAUUUUGGUAAGCUGUCUUUUCACCCGGCUUAUGCAUUAAGAGACUAAGUCAGGGUAAUUAGAUCUAAAGUUAAUUCAGACAUGUGUACUAAAGGCGUGUUUAUUUUACUGUGCAUCAUAUUUUGUAAAGUCACGUUUAAAUAUUAUUUAACGUAAUUUUGUAUAAUUUUUCA